GUUAUAGGGUCAAGCGAACAAGUGCAUGUGGUGGAUGCCUUGGCGAUCACAGGCGAUGAAGGACGCGGUAGCCUGCGAAAAGCUACGGGGAGCUGGCAAACAAGCUUUGAUCCGUAGAUGUCCGAAUGGGGAAACCCACUCCGUAUGGAGUAUCCAUGGCUGAAUACAUAGGCCAUGCGAAGCGAACGCGGUGAACUGAAACAUCUAAGUAACCGCAGGAAAAGAAAUCAACCGAGAUUCCCAAAGUAGUGGCGAGCGAAAUGGGAUGAGCCUUGCACUCUUUAUUUGUAUUGUUAGCCGAACGCUCUGGAAAGUGCGGCCAUAGCAGGUGAUAGCCCUGUAGGCGAAAACAGUAUGAAAGAACUAGGUGUGCGACAAGUAGGGCGGGACACGUGAAAUCCUGUCUGAAGAUGGGGGGACCAUCCUCCAAGGCUAAAUACUCGUGAUCGACCGAUAGUGAACCAGUACCGUGAGGGAAAGGCGAAAAGAACCCCGGGAGGGGAGUGAAAUAGAUCCUGAAACCGCAUGCAUACAAACAGUCGGAGCCUCGCAAGGGGUGACGGCGUACCUUUUGUAUAAUGGGUCAGCGACUUACGUUCAGUAGCAAGCUUAACCGUAUAGGGCAGGCGUAGCGAAAGCGAGUCCGAAUAGGGCGUUCAGUUGCUGGGCGUAGACCCGAAACCAGGUGAUCUAUCCAUGGCCAGGAUGAAGGUGCGGUAACACGUACUGGAGGUCCGAACCCACUAACGUUGAAAAGUUAGGGGAUGAGCUGUGGAUAGGGGUGAAAGGCUAAACAAACCUGGAAAUAGCUGGUUCUCUCCGAAAACUAUUUAGGUAGUGCCUCGUGUCUCACCUUCGGGGGUAGAGCACUGUCAUGGUUGGGGGGUCUAUUGCAGAUUACCCCGCCAUAGCAAACUCCGAAUACCGAAGAGUGCAAUCACGGGAGACAGACAUCGGGUGCUAACGUCCGGUGUCAAGAGGGAAACAACCCAGACCGCCAGCUAAGGUCCCCAAAUAUGGCUAAGUGGGAAACGAAGUGGGAAGGCUAAAACAGUCAGGAGGUUGGCUUAGAAGCAGCCACCCUUUAAAGAAAGCGUAAUAGCUCACUGAUCGAGUCGUCCUGCGCGGAAGAUGUAACGGGGCUAAGCCAUAUACCGAAGCUGCGGAUGCGAGCUAGUCUCGCAUGGUAGGAGAGCGUUCCGUAAGCCUGCGAAGGUGCCUUGUAAAGGGUGCUGGAGGUAUCGGAAGUGCGAAUGCUGACAUGAGUAGCGAUAAAGGGGGUGAAAGGCCCCCUCGCCGUAAGCCCAAGGUUUCCUACGCAACGUUCAUCGGCGUAGGGUGAGUCGGCCCCUAAGGCGAGGCAGAAAUGCGUAGCUGAUGGGAAGCAGGUCAAUAUUCCUGCACCGUCGUUAGAUGCGAUGGGGGGACGGAUCGCGGAAGGUUGUCCGGGUGUUGGAAGUCCCGGUCGCUGCAUUGGAGAAGGCGCUUAGGCAAAUCCGGGCGCAGGAUUCAAGGGUGUGGCGCGAGCUCCCUCGGGAGCGAAGCAAUUGGAAGUGGUUCCAAGAAAAGCCUCUAAGCUUCAGUCUAACGAUGACCGUACCGCAAACCGACACAGGUGGGCGAGAUGAGUAUUCNCGGAAGGUUGUCCGGGUGUUGGAAGUCCCGGUCGCUGCAUUGGAGAAGGCGCUUAGGCAAAUCCGGGCGCAGGAUUCAAGGGUGUGGCGCGAGCUCCCUCGGGAGCGAAGCAAUUGGAAGUGGUUCCAAGAAAAGCCUCUAAGCUUCAGUCUAACGAUGACCGUACCGCAAACCGACACAGGUGGGCGAGAUGAGUAUUCUAAGGCGCUUGAGAGAACUCGGGAGAAGGAACUCGGCAAAUUGGUACCGUAACUUCGGGAUAAGGUACGCCCUUGUAGCUUGACUGGCCUGCGCCAGGAGGGUGAAGGGGUUGCAAUAAACUGGUGGCUGCGACUGUUUAAUAAAAACACAGCACUCUGCAAACACGAAAGUGGACGUAUAGGGUGUGACGCCUGCCCGGUGCCGGAAGAUUAAAUGAUGGGGUGCAAGCUCUUGAUUGAAGUCCCGGUAAACGGCGGCCGUAACUAUAACGGUCCUAAGGUAGCGAAAUUCCUUGUCGGGUAAGUUCCGACCUGCACGAAUGGCGUAACGAUGGCCACACUGUCUCCUCCCGAGACUCAGCGAAGUUGAAGUGUUUGUGAUGAUGCAAUCUACCCGCGGCUAGACGGAAAGACCCCAUGAACCUUUACUGUAGCUUUGCAUUGGACUUUGAACCGAUCUGUGUAGGAUAGGUGGGAGGCUAUGAAACCGGAACGCUAGUUUCGGUGGAGCCGUCCUUGAAAUACCACCCUGGUUUGUUUGAGGUUCUAACCUUGGCCCGUGAUCCGGGUCGGGGACAGUGCAUGGUAGGCAGUUUGACUGGGGCGGUCUCCUCCCAAAGCGUAACGGAGGAGUACGAAGGUACGCUAGGUACGGUCGGAAAUCGUGCUGAUAGUGCAAUGGCAUAAGCGUGCUUAACUGCGAGACCGACAAGUCGAGCAGGUGCGAAAGCAGGUCAUAGUGAUCCGGUGGUUCUGUAUGGAAGGGCCAUCGCUCAACGGAUAAAAGGUACUCUGGGGAUAACAGGCUGAUACCGCCCAAGAGUUCAUAUCGACGGCGGUGUUUGGCACCUCGAUGUCGGCUCAUCUCAUCCUGGGGCUGUAGCCGGUCCCAAGGGUAUGGCUGUUCGCCAUUUAAAGAGGUACGUGAGCUGGGUUUAAAACGUCGUGAGACAGUUUGGUCCCUAUCUGCCGUGGGCGUUGGAUAUUUGAAGGGGGCUGCUCCUAGUACGAGAGGACCGGAGUGGACGAACCUCUGGUGUACCGGUUGUGACGCCAGUCGCAUCGCCGGGUAGCUAUGUUCGGAAGAGAUAACCGCUGAAAGCAUCUAAGCGGGAAACUCGCCUUAAGAUGAGAUAUCCCUGGAGGCUUGACCUCCUUGAAGGGUCGUUCGAGACCAGGACGUUGAUAGGUCAGGUGUGUAAGCGCAGUAAUGCGUUCAGCUAACUGAUACUAAUUGCCCGUAAGGCUUGAUCCUAUAACA
rnacentral:rRNA from 1 species